rnacentral:rRNA from 1 species
UUCCAGACUCCUACGGGAGGCAGCAGUGGGGAAUAUUGGGCAAUGGGCGCAAGCCUGACCCAGCAACGCCGCGUGAAGGAAGAAGGCUCUCGGGUUGUAAACUUCUUUUAUCAGGGACGAAGCAAGUGACGGUACCUGAUGAAUAAGCCACGGCUAACUACGUGCCAGCAGCCGCGGUAAUACGUAGGUGGCAAGCGUUGUCCGGAUUUACUGGGUGUAAAGGGCGUGCAGCCGGGCUGACAAGUCAGAUGUGAAAUCCCGCGGCUCAACCGCGGAACUGCAUUUGAAACUGUCAGUCUUGAGUACCGGAGAGGUAAUCGGAAUUCCUGGUGUAGCGGUGAAAUGCGUAGAUAUAAGGAAGACAACCAGUGGCGAAGGCGGAUGACUGGACGGCAACUGACGGUGAGGCGCGAAAGCGUGGGGAGCAACCAGGAUUAGAUCCCCGAGUAGA